rnacentral:snRNA from 1 species
GUGCUCACUUCGGCAGCACAUAUACUAAAAUUGGAGUGAUACAGAGUUUAGCAUGGUCCCUGCGCAAGGAUGACACGCAAAUUCGUGAAGUGUUCCAUAUUUUU